rnacentral:rRNA from 1 species
CCGUCAAUUCCUUUGAGUUUUAACCUUGCGGCCGUAGUCCCCAGGCGGUAGACUUAUCGCGUUAGCUUGGACACCGAAAGCGAUUAAGCUUCCGACGCCUAGUCUACAUCGUUUAGGGCUAGGACUACCGGGGUCUCUAAUCCCGUUUGCUACCCUAGCUUUCGCGUCUGAGUGUCAGGAAUGGUCCAGGAGGCCGCCUUCGCCACCGGUGUUCCUCCAGAUAUCUGCGCAUUCCACCGCUACACCUGGAAUUCCACCUCCCUCUACCAUCCUCUAGUUCUGUAGUUUAGAACGGCCUCUCCCAGUUGAGCCAGGAGCUUUCACGCCCUACUUACAGUACCACCUACACGCGCUUUACGCCCAGUAAAUCCGGAUAACGUUCGCCUCCUACGUGUUACCGCGGCUGCUGGCACGUAGUUAGCCGAGACUUAUUCUGGAAGUACAUUCCUUCCUAUUCCUUCCAAAAAGUGCUUUACGACCCGAAGGCCUUCUUCGCACACGCGGUGUUGCUAGAUCAGACUUUCGUCCAUUUCUAAUAUUCCCUACUGCUGCCUCCCGUAGGAGU